rnacentral:rRNA from 1 species
CCUACGGGAGGCAGCAGUAGGGAAUCUUCGGCAAUGGGGGCAACCCUGACCGAGCAACGCCGCGUGAGUGAAGAAGGUUUUCGGAUCGUAAAGCUCUGUUGUAAGUCAAGAACGGGUGUGAGAGUGGAAAGUUCACACUAUGACGGUAGCUUACCAGAAAGGGACGGCUAACUACGUGCCAGCAGCCGCGGUAAUACGUAGGUCCCGAGCGUUGUCCGGAUUUAUUGGGCGUAAAGCGAGCGCAGGCGGUUUGAUAAGUCUGAAGUUAAAGGCUGUGGCUCAACCAUAGUUCGCUUUGGAAACUGUCAAACUUGAGUGCAGAAGGGGAGAGUGGAAUUCCAUGUGUAGCGGUGAAAUGCGUAGAUAUAUGGAGGAACACCGGUGGCGAAAGCGGCUCUCUGGUCUGUAACUGACGCUGAGGCUCGAAAGCGUGGGGAGCGAACAGGAUUAGAUACCCUGGUAGUCCACGCCGUAAACGAUGAGUGCUAGGUGUUGGAUCCUUUCCGGGAUUCAGUGCCGCAGCUAACGCAUUAAGCACUCCGCCUGGGGAGUCGACCGCAAGGUUGAAACUCAAAUGAAUUGACGG